UCUCUCUCACUCUCACUCCUAUUAACUCAACUUCAAGUCUCUCUCCUCUAACUCUCUCUCUUUCUCACGGCGGCAAAUAGAAAAGAAAACAAAAGCAAUCUCGAACUCUCUCGCUCGCUCGCGGCGGCUCCGACUCCAUCGGCACAGCUACUUUCCGGCAUCGUUAACAGAUAAUGAAUAUUGACCGUAGUUGGAUGUGGAAGCGCUUGGAUGAUAAUGGGUUUCUUUUAGAUGAAUUCGUAACAAAGGUUGAUCAGGAGUUCUUGAACUUUGCCUAUGAUAACCCACGAUUUCUGAAUAAUGGACAAAUCAAAUGUCCAUGCUCUAAAUGCCGCAACACGAGAUUUUUGAAUCGGAGUGAUGCGCAUUUACACAUAGUAAAAAAUGGAUUUGCUCGAGGUUAUAACAUCUGGUACGCACAUGGUGAAUCUUUGAACACAAGAGAUAAUGUGGGGGAGAAGCUUAAUGAGUUAACAAAAGUUGUGGGGGACAUGCGCUCUAAUGCUACAAAGAUGGAAGAAGAAUUUUUCAAGACAAGAGAAGAAAAUAAAAAAUUGCUUGAAAUUGCUCUUGAAGAAGCUCGAAAGAGGGAGGAAGAGGCUCGAAAGAGAGAGACAAAUCUACAAGAAUUAGUUUGAAAAUUAUUUCAAGAUGUGGGAUACACAAACCAUCAAUUUGCUGGUGGGUUUGGACAACAGGAGCAACAACAUUCCAUAAAAGAUCAUUAUUUUAUUUUUUCUGUUGGUUGUUUAUGAAUUAGUUUUUGUUGAUUUGGGUUGUACUUUGACUUACGUUUGUUAUUUGGGAGUGGAGACAUUGAUAUUAUUUGGUAGUACUUGGAUGAUACAAUGACAUCAAUUAUAUUGUUGGCGGUAUUAUGAAUUAGUUUUUGUUGA